rnacentral:sRNA from 1 species
GGAAGGACCUGAGUUUUCUUUACCCAUGGUCAGGGAGGCGCCAUCGCCCUGGCUUUGGGGCUGGGGCCUCAGGGGAGGUUCCGGUAGGGGCCUUGGAGAGGCUGCUCUUUUUGCAAGGCCCGACACGGCGGGCCCUGCGCAGGCCACCCUAUUCCCCGCCCUCAGGGCGUCAGUAUCCGCCUGAGGCCGGAUACCCCCGCUGGGCCCAGAUGCUCCCUCUGGGCCCGGAGCAUCCUCGGCGCUGCCCUCCCAGAGCCCCGCAGAGGCUGAAGUGGCGCGGGGUAGGGGGGCCCGGCUCCGCGAGAAGCGGCGGCAGCGAGGGCUGGAGGACCCGGGCUCCCGGGCUCCGGGUCUCCGGGGCUCCGGGGGGUCUGGCCUGGGUGGGACUGAGCCCAUCCAGGAACUGGGACUCCGGGGUUCUGGUGUGGGUGGAUCCGGGGCAGGCUCAGGACCAAGUCCCUCUCCUUCCACCAAGAAGCGCCCAGAGGCCGGCGGGAGCUCCAGGUUCACCUCCUCCUCCUCCAGGAAAACCCACUUCCAACUGGAUGUCUGGAUGAACUACUGAAAGCUGCUGAGUGUCCUGCAGCAG